CACUCCCAAAUACCCUAAAAAGGAACAAAAAAAAAUAAAAUAAAAGGAAAACUGAGAGCAAAGCUGCAUGUCUUUUUCUCUCUCACGGUAAGUUUUCUCUUCUUCCCAUUCAUGCUCUUCGCCUUUCCCAACAGGUAGGCAUCUCUUUUCUAUGUUUUCUUUUAGAAUGAUAAAAAUUUCUUCCUUUUCAUUUCUGUUCAAGAGAGAACCCUAGAUCUCUAUGUCUCGACUACCUCGUUUUGUUUCUGUUUAUUUCUUCGAUUUGGGUUGUUGCUUUUUUUUGCAUUACAAAGUCUAAGGAUGGAGAAAAGUUAAAUGGGUAUCUCUUGGUUUUAAAGAAAAAUGGAUUUUUUUUAUUAGAAGGCUUGAUUUUUGUGUAAUUUUGUUUGGCAUAGGGCAUAAGAAAGUCAAGGAUGGAGAAAAAUGAAGUGGGUAUUUCCUGGUUUUGAAGGAGGAGGUAAAUUUUGGUUCAAAGGCCUGAAUUUUGUGAACAUAGGAACUUGGUUUUGUGCGUCACCGAGUUAAGGAUAGUGAAAACUGAAGUGGGCAUUUGUUUUCAAAUCAAAAGUAAAAAACUUUGGUUGAAAGGCUUGAUUUUUGUUUGUAAUGGAAGGAGGGUUGGGUGGAAACUCUGUUCCUCUAAAUUCAUUUGAUAAGUCUAAAGUUUUGGAUGUAAAACCACUACGUACCUUAGUUCCUCUAUUCCCAGACGCGUCUGAGGGUUCCCCUUUUGUUUGUGUACCUCCUAAUGGCCCUUUCCCAUCUGGGUUUUCGCCAUUUUUUCCAUUUAGUGGACCACAAGGAUCUCAAUCUACUCCUGACCUUAACCAAAAUGACUUCAAUGCAACUGCUGUGCCCAUUCGGUCAUUUAGAGCAGAACCACCAGCUUCUAAUGGCCAAAAUAUGCCACCAAUGGAUACAUUUGGCAGUCAUAAGCACAAAUCGGCUGGGGCAAGUUCUGUUAAAAGGAAGGCGAAGAGGCACAAAGAUUUGGAGUUUGCAAUAACUGCCCUUAGUGAUUUCAAUCCUGGGAUUAGUUUAUCUGAACGAGAUGAUGGUAACAGGGAAUUGGUUGAAAAUGUGCUUUUGAGGUUUGAUGCACUUAGGAGAAGGCUUAGCCAGAUGGAGGACGCGAAGGAAUUACAUUCUGGGAUUAUUAAGCGUGCAGAUUUGAAAGCUGGCAACAUAAUGAUGAGCAAAGGGGUGCGGACUAACAUGAAAAAGAGAAUUGGGGUUGUUCCUGGUGUUGAAAUUGGAGACAUUUUCUUCUUUCGAAUGGAGUUGUGUGUGGUGGGGUUGCAUUCUCAGUCCAUGGCUGGAAUUGACUACAUGGUUGUCAAGGGUGAUUCAGAGGGAGAGCCAGUUGCUUUAAGCAUUGUGUCUUCUGGAGGGUAUGAUGAUGAUGCAGAAGAUCCUGAUGUUUUGGUAUAUAGUGGUCAAGGUGGGAAUGCCAAUAAAGAUAAAGAAGCAUCUGAUCAGAAGCUUGAGAGGGGUAAUCUCGCUUUAGAAAAGAGCUUGCACCGAGCCAAUGAAGUAAGAGUCAUUCGGGGUCUGAAGGAUGCUGUCCAUCAAACGUCUAAGGUCUAUGUGUAUGAUGGGCUUUUCAAAAUCCAAGAGUCAUGGACGGAGAAGGGGAAAUCAGGUUGCAAUAUGUUCAAGUAUAAAUUGGUGAGGGUCCCUGGGCAGACAAGUGCUUUUUCCAUUUGGAAAUCCAUUCAGAAGUGGAAAGAAGGUUUGUCUUUAAGGGUUGGACUUAUUCUUCCUGACCUCACUUCAGGUGCAGAAAGCACACCUGUUUCACUUGUAAAUGAGGUUGAUGAUGAAAAGGGGCCCGCUCACUUCACAUAUAACCCUACUGUCAAGUAUUCGAAAUCAUUCAAAUUAGUCCAACCUUCAUUUGGCUGCAAAUGCCGUGAUGCGUGCCAAGCAGGAAAUUCUAACUGCUCCUGCAAUAAAAAAAAUGGAGGUGAUUUCCCUUACACUGCCAAUGGGAUUUUAGUGUGUCGGAAACCCUUGAUAUAUGAAUGUGGUCCCUCGUGCCCAUGCUUCCGUAACUGCAAAAACAAAGUUUCACAGACUGGUUUUAAAGUUCACUUAGAAGUUUUUAAGACAAGAGAUAGGGGUUGGGGUCUUCGGUCAUGGGAUCCUGUUCGUGCAGGUACAUUUAUUUGUGAAUAUGCCGGUGAAGUUAUUGAUGAAAUUAAGGCAAGGCAGGAUGGGGGAGAUGGUGAAAAAAAUGAGUAUGUUUUUCACACAAACCGUCUCUAUGAAUCCUUCAAGUGGAAUUAUGAAACUGGGUUAGUAGGGGAGGAAAGUUCUGAUCCCACUGAAGAUUUUGAUUUUCCAUCUCCCCUAAUCAUAAGUGCAAAGAACAGUGGAAAUGUAGCUCGAUUUAUGAAUCACAGUUGCUCUCCAAAUGUUUUCUGGCAGCCAAUCAUGUAUGAACAUAACAAUGAAGCUUUUCUCCAUAUUGCUUUCUUUGCAAAGAGACACAUUCCUCCUAUGACAGAAUUGACAUAUGAUUAUGGUACUCCACACUCAGAUGAGACUCGAAGUAAGGCAGCACAUGAGAAAAAGAAAUGCUUAUGUGGAUCACGAAAAUGCCGAGGUUGUUUUUAUUGAGGUGUAGGUUGCAUACCUGUAUUCUGUACACAAGCUAAAUUUUUGGCUUUUUGAAAAAGAUUGUACUUAUGCUGUCGCUGUGGUAACAUGCAGAAGAACUGACAAUGUAUGAAAACAAUGUGUGCUGAUGUUUUUUGUAGUCUACAUUGCAGGAAGUCAAUUUAUGGUUCAGUUACUUCAGAUUUGCCAGAA